CGAACGGCGAGCGAAAUAGCAAACAUGAUAGCAAACGUUACACAACUAUGUCCGGAACACGGGACAGCUAUGAUGCAGCAGAUUGUGUGCAACUUGAGCCAAUAUAUCCCCGGUAUGCCAAACGAUGCAAGGGUCGCGCUGCAGAGGCAAUCGAAACAUUGGACAGGGUGGAAUAUCAAGCCCGAAGAGAUCCGUGAAGGUGGCAAGGUGAUUGGCUCCAUCUGGUAUCGCGGUUUAAAAGCCGCAGUUCUGGAAAACUUGCAAUGUGUCACUUCUAGCAACGUGGAAUUAGACAUCUUCGUCGACGAAGCGAAGUUGUUCCAGAUAACACGACCAAAACUUACCUCAUGGGUUAUUCUGGGACGUUUGAACGAAGGAACCAAACUGGGUUAUCCUUUCCCCAUUGCCGUGUUUUGCGGCGUAGAUAAGCCCCCCGUAGAAGAAUUCCUCGGCCCUUUGUGCGACGAAGCAAGCGAGUUUGUUGGCAGGCGAGAACAACCACGCGAAUUGGUGGUUGACGAUAGUAAAUCCGUGAUGAUCGGAGCACGAAUCGUGAUAACCGACGCCACGGCACGAUCUUUCGUAAAAGGAACAGUAUUACAAAACGCGGCGAGCGGCUGUACACAGUGCACCAUAAUAGGAAAGCGCAUCGUAAGUACAACUGCAUCCUUCGUCAGCGACUCCACAUUUCCCCCACGGACACAUGAAGAGUUCGUGACGGGAAAGUACGACCAAGUGGGAAAAAAACAUCGGCUGAGGGCUACUCCUUUGGAGAAG